ACCUCCCCCAUCCUUUCCAUUCCCUAUGGACAUCAAUCCGAAUCUAAAGAAUAUAGUCUAAAAAUCAGUGUAAGAUUAUAAUUAAAGUAUAAUAAUUUCAGCCGCUGCCGAACUUGCUGCAGAAAUAAAAAAAAUCCAAGAAUCGCAAGUGAAGAUUUCUCAAUGGCAGCAAAGAAGAAUGAAGGCUGAAAUUUCUUGGGAAGAAAGUCGGUCAGUUCUAUUUGAGUGGGAGGUGUGUAGGCACGCUGUUCCAGUUGAAGACACAAAAUGCUUCAAAUGUAUGAUUGAAGCCAGCAUCAAAUGUGAAGAUUGUCAUCGCCUAUUCUGCUACCACUGUGAUAU